AGUUCGUGGUGUGAACUGUCUGCUUAAUUGCGUUUCUCAUAGAAACUUUAAAAGGACAAAUUUAGGUUUUACGAGUUGUUUGUAUUGCUUUUCGAAGCUUUCGCUCUCGGCCUAUUUGUUACCUUCUUUCUCGAAGGCAACGAACGUGACCGCAGCCUCUUGUUGCCUCUACAAUUUAAUUUUAAGUUUAUUUUUACUUGUAAAGAGAAGACUUUUUUUAAAUAUUUGAGGGUUGCACUUUUUUACAAGUUGUAAAGCACUUUACUUUCGGGUAAUGUUGUCUGAGCACUUGUGGUGCUUUAACUAGAGGGACCGCUGACAAAUAAUUUUUAAAACAGAGGAAGAUUGCGGCAAUAACAGGU
rnacentral:rRNA from 1 species